GACCCCCAACAUAUUCCGGCCUUCUGGGAAAUGUAGUUCCCCGUCACCGCGAAGUGCCUCUUUAUCUGGGGGCUCGCGACAGCGUCUAGAGGAGCCGAGAACUACAAGUCCCAGUGUGUUUCGCCGCAGAGCCUGCCGGUUCCGCUGCAGCUACGUAGCAGUAUCCCCUUGGAUCCGGCCUCCCGCCCAGUGCCUUUGGUCGCCGGCUGCCGCACCCGAGCCUGUAACUGACCUGGCGUCCCUGCCCUUGCCUGGCGGCGGUGGGGCUAGAGGCCGGGGGCCGCGGGUCGUAGCUAUAAGCAGCUUCCCGCGCAGCCUCCUGCGGACUUGGACUUGGCCCGGGUCACACACGCCCAGGGCCCCACACGCCCAGGGCCCCACGCCCUCUUCUGAAAUUCGCUUUACUCUGGGGGCGGUGCGCGACGAGCACUGCCUAGAGCUUCCCGCCCCCGCGGCGCCCAGGCUCUUUAGCUCGGCCAAAGACCCCUCCUCCACUCAUUUUUUCCUUCAUUCAUUCUCUCAUUCACUCUCGAGUAUUUUCUGAACCAGACUGUGCGCUGAGGGUACGGUAGGGAACAACACAGAGUCCCCCGCCCUCGCUUCCUCCUGACUGAGAUAAAAGACAAAAUGUGAAUAAAGGGUUAUAAUAUGGA
rnacentral:lncRNA from 1 species